AUCGAGCUGACGAGUCUCAAAUAGGACGAAACGUGCGUCCUGGAU
rnacentral:hammerhead_ribozyme from 1 species